rnacentral:misc_RNA from 1 species
AUUGUGCCGGCCGACACU